AAAUUGAAGAGUUUGAUCAUGGCUCAGAUUGAACGCUGGCGGCAGGCCUAACACAUGCAAGUCGAACGGUAACAGGAAGCAGCUUGCUGCUUUGCUGACGAGUGGCGGACGGGUGAGUAAUGUCUGGGAAACUGCCCGAUGGAGGGGGAUAACUACUGGAAACGGUAGCUAAUACCGCAUAACGUCGCAAGACCAAAGAGGGGGACCUUAGGGCCUCUUGCCAUCGGAUGUGCCCAGAUGGGAUUAGCUAGUAGGUGGGGUAAAGGCUCACCUAGGCGACGAUCCCUAGCUGGUCUGAGAGGAUGACCAGCCACACUGGAACUGAGACACGGUCCAGACUCCUACGGGAGGCAGCAGUGGGGAAUAUUGCACAAUGGGCGCAAGCCUGAUGCAGCCAUGCCGCGUGUAUGAAGAAGGCCUUCGGGUUGUAAAGUACUUUCAGCGGGGAGGAAGGGAGUAAAGUUAAUACCUUUGCUCAUUGACGUUACCCGCAGAAGAAGCACCGGCUAACUCCGUGCCAGCAGCCGCGGUAAUACGGAGGGUGCAAGCGUUAAUCGGAAUUACUGGGCGUAAAGCGCACGCAGGCGGUUUGUUAAGUCAGAUGUGAAAUCCCCGGGCUCAACCUGGGAACUGCAUCUGAUACUGGCAAGCUUGAGUCUCGUAGAGGGGGGUAGAAUUCCAGGUGUAGCGGUGAAAUGCGUAGAGAUCUGGAGGAAUACCGGUGGCGAAGGCGGCCCCCUGGACGAAGACUGACGCUCAGGUGCGAAAGCGUGGGGAGCAAACAGGAUUAGAUACCCUGGUAGUCCACGCCGUAAACGAUGUCGACUUGGAGGUUGUGCCCUUGAGGCGUGGCUUCCGGAGCUAACGCGUUAAGUCGACCGCCUGGGGAGUACGGCCGCAAGGUUAAAACUCAAAUGAAUUGACGGGGGCCCGCACAAGCGGUGGAGCAUGUGGUUUAAUUCGAUGCAACGCGAAGAACCUUACCUGGUCUUGACAUCCACGGAAGUUUUCAGAGAUGAGAAUGUGCCUUCGGGAACCGUGAGACAGGUGCUGCAUGGCUGUCGUCAGCUCGUGUUGUGAAAUGUUGGGUUAAGUCCCGCAACGAGCGCAACCCUUAUCCUUUGUUGCCAGCGGUCCGGCCGGGAACUCAAAGGAGACUGCCAGUGAUAAACUGGAGGAAGGUGGGGAUGACGUCAAGUCAUCAUGGCCCUUACGACCAGGGCUACACACGUGCUACAAUGGCGCAUACAAAGAGAAGCGACCUCGCGAGAGCAAGCGGACCUCAUAAAGUGCGUCGUAGUCCGGAUUGGAGUCUGCAACUCGACUCCAUGAAGUCGGAAUCGCUAGUAAUCGUGGAUCAGAAUGCCACGGUGAAUACGUUCCCGGGCCUUGUACACACCGCCCGUCACACCAUGGGAGUGGGUUGCAAAAGAAGUAGGUAGCUUAACCUUCGGGAGGGCGCUUACCACUUUGUGAUUCAUGACUGGGGUGAAGUCGUAACAAGGUAACCGUAGGGGAACCUGCGGUUGGAUCACCUCCUUA
rnacentral:rRNA from 2 species